rnacentral:rRNA from 1 species
GACGAACGCUGGCGGCGUGCCUAAUACAUGCAAGUCGAACGCUUCUUCUUUCACCGGAGCUUGCUCCAUCGAAAGAAAAAGAGUGGCGAACGGGUGAGUAACACGUGGGUAACCUGCCCAUCAGAAGGGGAUAACACUUGGAAACAGGUGCUAAUACCGUAUAACACUAUUUUCCGCAUGGAAGAAAGUUGAAAGGCGCUUUUGCGUCACUGAUGGAUGGACCCGCGGUGCAUUAGCUAGUUGGUGAGGUAACGGCUCACCAAGGCAACGAUGCAUAGCCGACCUGAGAGGGUGAUCGGCCACACUGGGACUGAGACACGGCCCAGACUCCUACGGGAGGCAGCAGUAGGGAAUCUUCGGCAAUGGACGAAAGUCUGACCGAGCAACGCCGCGUGAGUGAAGAAGGUUUUCGGAUCGUAAAACUCUGUUGUUAGAGAAGAACAAGGAUGAGAGUAAAAUGUUCAUCCCUUGACGGUAUCUAACCAGAAAGCCACGGCUAACUACGUGCCAGCCGCCGCUGUAA